rnacentral:rRNA from 1 species
AAUCAACGCUGGCGGCGUGCCUCAGACAUGCAAGUCGAACGCGAAAGUUCCCUUCGGGGGGAUGAGUAGAGUGGCGCACGGGUGAGUAACACGUAGGUAAUCUACCUUUGGAUGGGGAAUAACAGCCGGAAACGGCUGCUAAUACCGCAUAAUGCAGCGGCUCGACAUCGAGACAGUUGUUAAAGCGGGGGAUCGCAAGACCUCGCGCCUAAAGAGAAGCCUGCGGCAGAUUAGCUAGUUGGUAGGGUAAUGGCCUACCAAGGCGACGAUCUGUAACCGGCCUGGAGAGGGCGGUCGGUCACACUGACACUGACAUACGGGUCAGACUCCUACGGGAGGCAGCAGUCGGGUAAUUUUGGGCAAGUGGGCGAAAGCCUGACCCAGCAACGCCGCGUGAAGGAU